rnacentral:tRNA from 1 species
GUCCUUGUCGAUUAGUGGUUAAAUCAUCUCGUUGUGGCGAUUUACGCAUGCUCCGAGAAGCCGGAAGUUCGAAUCCUCCCUGGGACA